rnacentral:rRNA from 1 species
UACGUAGGGGGCAAGCGUUGUCCGGAUUUAUUGGGCGUAGAGAGCGUGUAGGCGGUUUGGUAGGUCCGCUGUGAAAACUCGAGGCUCAACCUCGAGACGCCGGUGGAAACCAUCAGACUAGAGUCCGGAAGAGGAGAGUGGAAUUCCUGGUGUAGCGGUGAAAUGCGCAGAUAUCAGGAAGAACACCCGUGGCUAAGGCGGCUCUCUAGUACGGUACUGACGCUGAGACGCGAAAGCGUGGGGAGCGAACAGG